rnacentral:rRNA from 1 species
UCGGUAACGUCAAGACCCGCAGCUAUUAACCACAGGCUUUCUUCCCGACUGAAAGUGCUUUACAACCCGCAGGCCUUCUUCACACACGCGGCAUUGCUGGAUCAGGCUUUCGCCCAUUGUCCAAUAUUCCCCA